CUAGCCCUGUCUUCCCAUUUGGUGAUCAGCACUGAAAACAGAACAAUCAACAUGGGAUUGGGACUGCACUGGGUUUUCUUGGUUGUUCUUUUAAAAGGUGUCCAUUGCGAGGUGCAGCUGGUUGAGUCUGGUGGCGGAUUGGUACAGCCUCAGGGGUCAUUGAAACUCUCCUGUGCAGCCUCUGGAUUCACCUUCAGUGACUAUGCAAUGUCCUGGGUCCGCCAGGCUCCAGGGAAGGGUCUUGAAUGGGUUGGUCGCAUAAGAAGUAAAAGUAAUAAUUAUGCAACAUACUAUGCUGAUUCGGUGAAAGGCAGAUUCACCAUCUCCAGAGAUGAUUCCCAAAGCACGGCCUACCUGCAAAUGAACAGUCUUAAAACUGAGGACACAGCCACGUAUUACUGUGCAAGAGACACAGUGAGGAGUCUUUACUAUGAGCCCAGACAAAAACCUCCCCGCCAGGUACCCAUGACCAGCAGGGGGCGCUCAGCACACAUAAAGCCCAGGUGCAGACAUACUUGAUACU